CUCUUAUUAAGAGCGGCUGAGGGAUUAGGCCCUGUGAAGCCCGGCAACCUUCAAACGUCAGUUUGAAAAGGUGCUACGUCCUACAGAUCUUACUGAUCUGAAAGAUAAGAG
rnacentral:ncRNA from 1 species